GAUGAACGCUAGCUACAGGCUUAACACAUGCAAGUCGAGGGGAAACGACAUCGAAAGCUUGCUUUUGAUGGGCGUCGACCGGCGCACGGGUGAGUAACGCGUAUCCAACCUGCCCAUCACUUGGGAAUAACCUUGCGAAAGUAAGACUAAUACCCAAUGACAUCCCACGAAGACAUCUGAAUGGGAUUAAAGUUUUAUCGGUGAUGGAUGGGGAUGCGUCUGAUUAGCUUGUUGGCGGGGUAACGGCCCACCAAGGCAACGAUCAGUAGGGGUUCUGAGAGGAAGGUCCCCCACAUUGGAACUGAGACACGGUCCAAACUCCUACGGGAGGCAGCAGUGAGGAAUAUUAGUCAAUGGGCGAGAGCCUGAACCAGCCAAGUAGCGUGCAGGAUGACGGCCAUAUGGGUUGUAAACUGCUUUUAUAAGGGAAUAGAGUGGGUCUCGUGAGACUUUUUGCAUGUACCUUAUGAAUAAGGACCGGCUAAUUCCGUG
rnacentral:rRNA from 1 species